rnacentral:sRNA from 1 species
UUGCGCUUGGCGGUCGCCGGGUGCAGCUGCCCGGACAGGGCGCAUGGAGGGGCCGCCUCCCCCUGCGCCCCCCGGGGCCGGCGCGGCGAGGACGGCAUAGCAGGGCCCAGCAUGGAGCAGCUGCCACUGGGCCCAAGAGAUGGGUGCUCUCCUAGGCGCCCCUUCCCCUGGCAGGGGCCGAGGACGCUGCUGCUGCACAAAAGUCCCCAGGACGGCUUUGGCUUCACUCUGCGCCACUUCAUCGUGUACCCACCCGAGUCGGCUGUGCACUGCAGCCUGAAGGAGGAAGAUAAUGGAGGCCGUGGAGGAGGACCCUCCCCCCGGCACCGCCUGGAGCCCAUGGACACCAUCUUUGUCAAGAAUGUGAAGGAAGACGGCCCUGCCCAUAGGGCGGGGCUUCGCACAGGAGACCGGCUGGUAAAGGUGAAUGGGGAAAGCGUCAUUGGGAAGACCUACUCUCAGGUCAUAGCU